GACGAACGCUGGCGGCGUGCCUAAUACAUGCAAGUAGGACGCAGUUGCGAACGGGUGAGUAACGCGUAGGUCACUGCCUAUUAGAGGGUGAUAACUAUUGGAAACGAUAGCUAAUACCGCCUACUCAUAGAUGGACCUGCGUUGUAUUAGCUAGUAGGUAGGGUAAUGGCCUACCUAGGCGACGAUACAUAGCCGACCUGAGAGGGUGAUCAGGCACACUGGAACUGAGACACGGUCCAGACUCCUACGGGAGGCAGCAGUGGGGAAUAUUGGACAAUGGGCGAAAGCCUGAUCCAGCCAUGCCGCGUGUGUGAAGAAGGUCUUCGGAUUGUAAAGCACUUUAAGUGGGGAGGCGUUACCAACAGAAUAAGCACCGGCUAACUCCGUGCCAGCAGCCGCGGUAAUAC
rnacentral:rRNA from 1 species